rnacentral:tRNA from 1 species
GGUGUAGUUCAGUUGGUUAGAGCGUCAGAUUGUGGUUCUGAAUGUCGUGGGUUCGAGUCCCUCCUC